rnacentral:rRNA from 1 species
AUUGAACGCUGGCGGCAUGCUUUACACAUGCAAGUCGAACGGUAACAGGGUGCUUGCACCGCUGACGAGUGGCGAACGGGUGAGUAAUGCGUCGGAACGUGCCGAGUAGUGGGGGAUAACGCAUCGAAAGGUGUGCUAAUACCGCAUACGUACUGAGGUAGAAAGUGGGGGACCUUCGGGCCUCACGCUAUUCGAGCGGCCGACGUCUGAUUAGCUAGGUGGUGAGGUAAAGGCUCACCAAGGCGACGAUCAGGAGCGGGUCUGAGAGGAUGAUCCGCCAGACGGGGACUGAGACACGGCCCAGACUCCUACGGGAGGCAGCAGUGGGGAAUUUUGGACAAUGGGCGCAAGCCUGAUCCAGCCAUGCCGCGUGUCUGAAGAAGGCCUUCGGGUUGUAAAGGACUUUUGUCCGGGAGCAAAUACCCAGUGCUAAUAACGCUGGGGGCUGAGAGUACCGGAAGAAUAAGCACCGGCUAACUACGUGCCAGCCGCCGCCGUAAGAC